UUUUACAAUGGAGAGUUUGAUCCUGGCUCAGGAUGAACGCUAGCUACAGGCUUAACACAUGCAAGUCGAGGGGAAACGACAUCGAAAGCUUGCUUUUGAUGGGCGUCGACCGGCGCACGGGUGAGUAACGCGUAUCCAACCUGCCCAUCACUUGGGAAUAACCUUGCGAAAGUAAGACUAAUACCCAAUGACAUCCCACGAAGGCAUCUGAAUGGGAUUAAAGAUUUAUCGGUGAUGGAUGGGGAUGCGUCUGAUUAGCUUGUUGGCGGGGUAACGGCCCACCAAGGCGACGAUCAGUAGGGGUUCUGAGAGGAAGGUCCCCCACAUUGGAACUGAGACACGGUCCAAACUCCUACGGGAGGCAGCAGUGAGGAAUAUUGGUCAAUGGGCGAGAGCCUGAACCAGCCAAGUAGCGU
rnacentral:rRNA from 1 species